rnacentral:rRNA from 1 species
UUGAACGCUGGCGGCAUGCUUUACACAUGCAAGUCGAACGGUAACAGGUCUUCGGAUGCUGACGAGUGGCGAACGGGUGAGUAAUACAUCGGAACGUGCCCGAUCGUGGGGGAUAACGCAGCGAAAGCUGUGCUAAUACCGCAUACGAUCUACGGAUGAAAGCAGGGGACCGCAAGGCCUUGCGCGGACGGAGCGGCCGAUGGCAGAUUAGGUAGUUGGUGGGAUAAAAGCUUACCAAGCCGACGAUCUGUAGCUGGUCUGAGAGGACGACCAGCCACACUGGGACUGAGACACGGCCCAGACUCCUACGGGAGGCAGCAGUGGGGAAUUUUGGACAAUGGGGGCAACCCUGAUCCAGCCAUGCCGCGUGAGUGAAGAAGGCCUUCGGGUUGUAAAGCUCUUUCGGACGGAAAGAAACGGUCACGGCCAAUACCCGUGGCUAAUGACGGUACCGUCAGAAGAAGCACCGGCUAACUACGU